rnacentral:rRNA from 1 species
GAUGAACGCUGGCGGCGUGCCUAAUACAUGCGAGUCGAACGCUGGAAAUCUAGCUUGCUAGAUUGAAGGAGUGGCGAACGGGUGAGUAAUACAUAAGCAACCUACCCACGAAGACUGGGAUAAUCUCUGGAAACGGGGACUAAUACCGGAUAGGUAAUCGGAAGGCAUCUUCUGAUUAUUAAAGGUUAAAAACACUGGUGGAUGGGCUUAUGGCGCAUUAGUUAGUUGGUGAGGUAACGGCCCACCAAGACGAUGAUGCGUAGCCGGCCUGAGAGGGUGAACGGCCACAUUGGGACUGAGACACGGCCCAGACUCCUACGGGAGGCAGCAGUAGGGAAUUUUCGGCAAUGGGGGAAACCCUGACCGAGCAACGCCGCGUGAGUGAUGACGGCCUUCGGGUUGUAAAGCUCUGUUGUAAGGGAAGAACGGUAGAUAGAGAAUAUCUAAAUGACGGUACCUUACCAGAAAGCCACGGCUAACUACGUG